rfam:Ornithorhynchus anatinus chromosome 2, whole genome shotgun sequence.
CCCCUCUCAGUAUCGCACCUGGAGAGUUUCCAGUAUUCUACCAGUCUUGGCUGCGGGAGGGAGCGUCGAGCAGAGGCAUAUCCAUUCCAUUCUUAGCUUGGCCAGUGGCUAGCGAGCGGAAGGCCAUCUGCUACAAGU